ACCUGCCCAGAAGCGGGGGAUAACACCUGGAAACAGAUGCUAAUACCGCAUAACAACUUGGACCGCAUGGUCCGAGCUUGAAAGAUGGCUUCGGCUAUCACUUUUGGAUGGUCCCGCGGCGUAUUAGCUAGAUGGUGGGGUAACGGCUCACCAUGGCAAUGAUACGUAGCCGACCUGAGAGGGUAAUCGGCCACAUUGGGACUGAGACACGGCCCAAACUCCUACGGGAGGCAGCAGUAGGGAAUCUUCCACAAUGGACGAAAGUCUGAUGGAGCAACGCCGCGUGAGUGAAGAAGGGUUUCGGCUCGUAAAACUCUGUUGUUAAAGAAGAACAUAUCUGAGAGUAACUGUUCAGGUAUUGACGGUAUUUAACCAGAAAGCCACGGCUAACUACGUGCCAGCAGCCGCGGUAAUACGUAGGUGGCAAGCGUUGUCCGGAUUUAUUGGGCGUAAAGCGAGCGCAGGCGGUUUUUUAAGUCUGAUGUGAAAGCCUUCGGCUCAACCGAAGAAGUGCAUCGGAAACUGGGAAACUUGAGUGCAGAAGAGGACAGUGGAACUCCAUGUGUAGCGGGUGAAAUGCGUAGAUAUAUGGAAGAACACCAGUGGCGAAGGCGGCUGUCUGGUCUGUAACUGACGCUGAGGCUCGAAAGUAUGGGGUAGCAAACAGGAUUAGAUACCCUGGUAGU
rnacentral:rRNA from 1 species